GCACGGUGGAUGCCUUGGCACUAGGAGCCGAUGAAGGACGGGACUAACACCGAUAUGCUUUGGGGAGCUGUAAGUAAGCUAUGAUCCAGAGAUUUCCGAAUGGGGGAACCCAAUAUCUUUUAUAGGAUAUUACUUUUCAGUGAAUACAUAGCUGAUUAGAGGUAGACGCAGAGAACUGAAACAUCUUAGUACCUGCAGGAAGAGAAAGAAAAUUCGAUUCCCUGAGUAGCGGCGAGCGAAACGGGAAGAGCCCAAACCAACAAGCUUGCUUGUUGGGGUUGUAGGACUCCAAUAUGGUAGUCUGUUAGUAUAGUUGAAGGAUUUGGAAAAUUCCGCUAAAGAGGGUGAAAGCCCCGUAGACGAAAUGCUAACAACACCUAGGAGGAUCCUGAGUACGGCGGAACACGAGAAAUUCCGUCGGAAUCCGCGGGGACCAUCCCGCAAGGCUAAAUACUCCCUAGUGACCGAUAGUGAACCAGUACCGUGAGGGAAAGGUGAAAAGCACCCCGGAAGGGGAGUGAAAUAGAUCCUGAAACCGUGUGCCUACAACAAGUCAAAGCUCGUUAAUGAGUGAUGGCGUGCCUUUUGUAGAAUGAACCGGCGAGUUACGAUUGCAUGCGAGGUUAAGUCGAAGAGACGGAGCCGCAGCGAAAGCGAGUCUGAAUAGGGCGAAUGAGUAUGUAGUCGUAGACCCGAAACCAUGUGAUCUACCCAUGUCCAGGUUGAAGGUGCGGUAAAACGCACUGGAGGACCGAACCCACGUACGUUGAAAAGUGCGGGGAUGAGGUGUGGGUAGCGGAGAAAUUCCAAACGAACUUGGAGAUAGCUGGUUCUCUCCGAAAUAGCUUUAGGGCUAGCCUCGGAAUUGAGAAUGAUGGAGGUAGAGCACUGUUUGGACUAGGGGCCCAUCUCGGGUUACCGAAUUCAGAUAAACUCCGAAUGCCAUUCAUUUAUAUCCGGGAGUCAGACUGCGAGUGAUAAGAUCCGUAGUCGAAAGGGAAACAGCCCAGACCACCAGCUAAGGUCCCAAAAUAUAUGUUAAGUGGAAAAGGAUGUGGGGUUGCACAGACAACUAGGAUGUUGGCUUAGAAGCAGCCACCAUUUAAAGAGUGCGUAAUAGCUCACUAGUCGAGUGACCCUGCGCCGAAAAUGUACCGGGGCUAAACAUAUUACCGAAGCUGUGGACUACACCAUUAGGUGUAGUGGUAGGAGAGCGUUCUAAGGGCGUUGAAGGUCGAUCGUGAGGACGGCUGGAGCGCUUAGAAGUGAGAAUGCCGGUAUGAGUAGCGAAAGACAGGUGAGAAUCCUGUCCACCGUAUGACUAAGGUUUCCUGGGGAAGGCUCGUCCGCCCAGGGUUAGUCGGGACCUAAGCCGAGGCCGAUAGGCGUAGGCGAUGGACAACAGGUUGAUAUUCCUGUACCAGUUGUUUUUGUUUGAGCAAUGGAGGGACGCAGUAGGCUAAGGAAUGCAUGCGAUUGGAAGUGCAUGUCCAAGCAAUGAGUCUUGAG
rnacentral:rRNA from 1 species